rnacentral:rRNA from 1 species
AUUGAACGCUGGCGGCAUGCUUUACACAUGCAAGUCGGACGAGUGGCGAACGGGUGAGUAACAUAUCGGAACGUACCGAGUAAUGGGGGAUAACUAAUCGAAAGAUUAGCUAAUACCGCAUAUUAUUCGAGCGGCCGAUAUCUGAUUAGCUGGUUGGUGUGGUAAAGGCCUACCAAGGCGACGAUCAGUAGCGGGUCUGAGAGGAUGAUCCGCCACACUGGGACUGAGACACGGCCCAGACUCCUACGGGAGGCAGCAGUGGGGAAUUUUGGACAAUGGGGGGAACCUUGAUGCAGCGACGCCGCGUGAGGGAUGGAGGCCUUCGGGUUGUGAACCUCUUUCGCUCGUGUGCGUGUAGCGGGUAAAGAAGCGCCGGCUAACUACGUGCCAGCAGCCGCGGUAAUUC